rnacentral:rRNA from 1 species
AACGGCCAUACCAUGCUGAAUAUACCGGUUCUCGUUAGAUCACCGAAGUCAAACAUCAUUGGGCGCGGUCAGUACUUGGGUGGGUGGCCACCUGGGAACACCGCGUGCCGUU